UACGUAGGGCGCAAGCGUUGUCCGGAAUUAUUGGGCGUAAAGAGCUCGUAGGCGGUUUGUCGCGUCUGUCGUGAAAGCUUGGGGCUUAACCCUAAGUCUGCGGUGGAUACGGGCAGACUAGAGGCAGGUAGGGGAGAACGGAAUUCCCGGUGUAGCGGUGAAAUGCGCAGAUAUCGGGAGGAACACCGGUGGCGAAGGCGGUUCUCUGGGCAUUACCUGGACGCUGAGGAGCGAAAGUGUGGGGGAGCGAACAGG
rnacentral:rRNA from 1 species